rnacentral:lncRNA from 12 species
CUAAGCAGGACUUUCUGCCGAAGUGUCUGGAGAAAGGAGCAGCACUGCUUGCUGUGGUGUGUGGCAAUAGGAAAAGGCACGACACUGAAGGCUUGGUUUGGCUGAAGUCCUCGGGUGGUUGUGAGCUCUGGCAGCACUCCCA